GAAAUGCGAUAAUUAAUGUGAAUUGCAGAAUUCAGUGAAUCAUCGAGUCUUUGAACGCACAUUGCGCCCCCUGGUAUUCCGGGGGGCAUGCCUGUCCGAGCGUCAUUGCUGCCCUCAAGCACGGCUUGUGUGUUGGGCUUCCGUCCCUGGCACCGGGGACGGGCCCAAAAGGCAGUGGCGGCACCAUGUCUGGUCCUCGAGCGUAUGGGGCUUUGUCACCCGCUCCCGUAGGUCCAGCUGGCAGCUAGCCUCGCAACCAAUCUUUUUAACCAGGUUGACCUCGGAUCAGGUAGGGAUACCCGCUGAACUUAAGC
rnacentral:misc_RNA from 1 species